AACGAACGCUGGCGGCGUGGAUAAGACAUGCAAGUCGAACGGGACAGGUAGCAAUAUCUGUCUAGUGGCGAACGGGUGCGUAACACGUGGGCAACAUGCCUGGAAGAGCGGGAUAGCCCGGGGAAACUCGGAUUAAUACCGCAUGUGACAACGGGGCGGCUUCGCCCUGUUUUCAAAGGUGGGGACCGCAAGGCCUGCCGCUUCCAGAUUGGCCCGCGUCCUAUCAGCUAGUUGGCGGGGUAAAAGCCCACCAAGGCGACGACGGGUAGCUGGUCUGAGAGGACGACCAGCCACACUGGAACUGAGACACGGUCCAGACACCUACGGGUGGCAGCAGUCGAGAAUCUUUCACAAUGGGGGAAACCCUGAUGGAGCGACGCCGCGUGGAGGAUGACGGUCUUCGGAUUGUAAACUCCUGUCAUGAAAGAACAAGCGGAGCGGGUGGACAGCCCGCCGAGUUGAUAGUAUUUCAAGAGGAAGGGACGGCUAACGUCGUGCCAGCCGCCGCGGUAACAC
rnacentral:rRNA from 1 species